GACGAACGCUGGCGGCGUGCUUAACACAUGCAAGUCGAACGGAAAGGCCCUUCGGGGUACUCGAGUGGCGAACGGGUGAGUAACACGUGGGUGAUCUGCCCUGCACUUUGGGAUAAGCCUGGGAAACUGGGUCUAAUACCGAAUAUGACCGCGCACUUCCUGGUGUGUGGUGGAAAGCUUUUGCGGUGUGGGAUGGGCCCGCGGCCUAUCAGCUUGUUGGUGGGGUAAUGGCCUACCAAGGCGACGACGGGUAGCCGGCCUGAGAGGGUGACCGGCCACACUGGGACUGAGAUACGGCCCAGACUCCUACGGGAGGCAGCAGUGGGGAAUAUUGCACAAUGGGCGCAAGCCUGAUGCAGCGACGCCGCGUGAGGGAUGACGGCCUUCGGGUUGUAAACCUCUUUCAAUAGGGACGAAGCGCAAGUGACGG
rnacentral:rRNA from 1 species